rnacentral:rRNA from 1 species
UCGCCUGUUUUAUCAAAAACAUAGCCUGCGAAAUCUCACCGCAAGUGAUGCCUGCCCACUGCUAUAAGUAAACGGCCGCAGAAUUUUAACUGUGCUAAGGUAGCACAAUAUAUAGCUUCUUAAUUAGAUGCCAGCAUGAACGGCUUAAUAAGAGUUUACCUGUCUUCAUCAUACACUUAAACUUAACUGGAAAGUUAAAAGUCUUUCCUUAUUUUAAAAAGACGACAAGACCCUAAAAACUUAUCUUUUUAUAUUCAAUUAAAUUAAGAACUUAAACUUAAAGGAUUUUACUGGGGCGGUAACCUUUAUCUAAAAACAAAGGAUACACAAACAAUAUGCAUGAAAAACCAAAACCCAUCCUAAACCCAAACCCAAAGUUACUUUAGGGAUAACAGCGUUAUAUUAUUUUAGAGCCCCUAUCGACAAUAAAGAUUACGACCUCGAUGUUGAAUUGAAAAUUCUAAUUGAAGCAGCCUUCAAAAAAGAAAGUCUGUUCGACUUUUAAAAUUUCACAUGAUCUGAGUUCAAACCGG